AUCUCUUUAGUUUAUGUUUAAAAUUUGAUUUUGAAGUGAUUAAGAAGAUUGGAGAUG
rnacentral:tRNA from 1 species